rnacentral:lncRNA from 1 species
UGAUAAAUAUUUACUUUACAUACAUUAUACAGAUUAUUUCAGUCUCAACAUUAAUUAUAAACACCUGUUUUAUUUUCUUCACAGUUGCCUGUCUUGGUGGAACUGUUCUCCAGACGCCUGAUGAUCUACUGAAGAAACGAGAUGAAUCUGCUGUGAUCACUUGUACUCACAAGAUACCGAGCUAUGACCGAAUACUGUGGUACAAACAAAGUCAGGACUCAUUGGGCCUAAAGUUGAUGGGAUACCUUAUUGCUGUGUCUAAGAAUAAAGAGCCUGAAUUUGAAAACAAGAUCAACUUGGAAGGAAAUGGAAGAAAUAAAGGCAUUCUGACUCUCAGCAACCUCUCACCGACUGACAGUGCAGUGUAUUUCUGUGCAGCAUAUUACACAGUGCUCAGAGUCACCUCUGUCUGAUACAAAAACCUCUUUUAAACUGCUUAUACUUCAAAAGCGUAUAUUUUAUCAUGUUCAUCUCAACAUCUGUGGGUUUUGAUUCCGUGCCAAUACUAAACACAACACACCUGCACGCUUAAAGUGUUGCUUAAUAUCUUGUAGUAUAUGGUCAAUUCGGUUCACAUCCCAACUUCUUAUAGGCAGAAACUUCUUUCUUAAAUUCAGAAUUUUGCCCCACCCUGAGAUCACCAUGAUGUCAUGAACUUACAUCCUGUAUUAUCAACUAAAAUUUGAAUCCUCACAGAAGAUUGUAAUUUAACCUAGCCAGCCUCAAUUUAACAAGAUGAGGAACAUCAUUCUGUUGAUUCUGAUGCUGCACUGCGGCCAAGCCAGCAUUCUUGGUAAAAGUGUUGUCCAGACUCCUUCUGAUCUCCUGAAGAAAGAAAAUGAAGUUGCCGAGAUCAAAUGUACAAACAAUGUCCAAAACUAUGAUGUCACACAAUGGUACAAGCAAAGCCAGAUCACCAAGGACCUUCAGUUCAUGGGAUACCUGAAUAUUAAACAAGUGGUCAAGGAGAAUAAAUUUAAUGACAAGAUCAAACUGGAUGGAGAUGGAAGAAAUAAUGUCACUCUGACUAUCAACACGCUCACAGUGAAUGACAGUGCAGUGUAUUUCUGUGCAGCGUAUUACACAGUGCUCAGAGUCACUUCUGUCUGA